rnacentral:rRNA from 1 species
UACGUAGGGUGCAAGCGUAAUCGGAAUUACUGGGCGUAAAGGGUGCGCAGGCGGCCGUGUGUGUGAGGCGUGAAAGCCCGGGGCUUAACCCCGGAAUUGCACCUCAAACUACAUGGCUAGAGCAUUGGAGAGGGUAGCAGAAUUCAUGGUGUAGCAGUGAAAUGCGUAGAUAUCAUGAGGAAUACCAGAGGCGAAGGCGGCUACCUGGACAAUUGCUGACGCUCAGGCACGAAGCG